rnacentral:lncRNA from 1 species
GGAGGAGGCGGAGGAGGCGGAGGUGGAAGAGGAAGCCGGCGUGGACGAGGCGGAGGAGAGAGAGGCGGGCCGCGGGCGCAGGCUGUCCGGCGGAGGCUCAGCGCGCUCCGGGGGCGGGGGCGGCGGCGGCGGCUGAAGAGGCUGCGGCGCGCUCAGGAGACCCGCGGCGCCGCUGCCCUUGAGCGGGCCUGCGCCUCCGUGAGGGAAGAGUUGCUGCCAGUGCUGCAGUUUUCUGAACCUGGGAAACGUGCUGUUCAGACUUCAUCCGGGUCUCAUUCAGGAUGCUUCGAUGUUGGUUGGAAGAGAGUUAGACCGAAAAUGUUUUGACUGGCGUCGUUAUGACAAGGUCAUCCGUCAUUGUUGGAUAGAUUGAUAGCACCCAAGUUUAAGGCAGACACCACGAGGGAAAGCCCACGGCGCUGUGGUCCCGGAGGCUAACCAGGCAGUGUCCGCAGACCUCCAGCAACUCCAUCGGGAGGAGAGGAUGAAGUUCCAGGCCCGUUUCAAUUAAUCUGCUCGCAGAACUGCCGAAGAGUGGCUUGUCGGGCCACGGGAGAAGAAACAAAUGCUCUUUCUCACACUCUCCUGGUUCAUUGCUGAGAAACCAGGACACUCCUCUGUUCCCUGGGAGAGACAGUGAACUCCAGGGAUGGAAGUCCGGACUCCGGCGGCGGUCCCGUCAUUUGCCUUCUUGUUUCUGCCCAAACCCAGCUAGUUCCAAGCGCUUGGUCCCCAAGACUGGAAGUCCCCAAGAACCUACCUCUACCUGUCCCAACCCUGCCUCCCCCCUACCCUUUCACCCCCUGCCACCAUUAGAAAGUCUCUGGAUUUUGAAAUGCUAGUUGCAGCAGCUGCUUCCGUGGCCUCAUGCCGCCCACACUCUGGGAAGCGGAGGAGGGAGGGUUCCUCUCGUAAUAAGAUUAGCUGACCUGUUAAUGAGAGUUUUGGACGUGCCGGGCGGGGGUAGGCGCUUUAUGUCCAUUUAAUCCACCUACAUGCGGAGAAGGCAUUAUCAUUAACCCCCAUAUUGUAGAUGGGGACCGCUGAGGUUCGGAAAGUUUAGAUGGGUUGCCUAAGGUCACGCCAUUAAUGAGUAAUGGAGACGGAUUCAAAUACCGUUCGGUAAGGUGCCAAGUGCAUCUUCUGCCUACCCUAGUCCAACCUGUAGCCACUCGGUCCAGACUGACGCCAGAGGGGCUAUCAUGGGAGAGAUUUGGUUCCCCUCGCUGCGGGGUCCAGGGAAGAAGCUGAGAAGGUAGCAAAGUCCCCCUCGCCCACUACGUCUACAGGUGGCGUACCUGGGUAAUCCGAUUCAAGCUUCCGCCACACCCACCCCGGGCACAAGUCGAUCCCGAGGCUUACGGGACCCUAAGGCCCAGAGGCUACAGGAACCUCCCGUGAAGGGGGCAGGAGAAAGUUUGAGGGAGAGCCCUGAAGGUCCGGGAGCGAACGAAAAAGUCUGGAAGGGAAUAGACCAGGAGUCAGGACCUCCCCUGCACCUCCCCAGCAGGCCCACUGCGCCGAGCGGGGCCCCUGCCUCCACCGCGGCUUCCGGGAUGCCCGCAGAGCUCGGCAUCCUCACCCGGUGCGCACAAGGGCGCGCAGCGGCGUAAGCUGGACCCCCGACGCUGCGCGCGCUCUGAGGGGCGCUUCCCCCUCACACAGUUGACCCUGGGCCCGCUUGGUCACGGCCACCCUGGCGCAUCUCAAUAGUUUUUAGAAAGUGAGCCCACCGACGGCAAGGACAUGCACCCCCUCAAAUCCGCUUCCCCCACCCCCUUCAAUACUGAGAAGACCACGGAAACAAAUCACUUCGACCACUUAGAAAGCGAUCAAACCUUUAUAAAAAUCCAUCGCUCCCAAAUCGAUGGGUGAAUAUUUGCUGGGAAUUUGUUCCAGAGGAAUAAAUGAGGAGCCUUGAGUGUAUUAAAUGCAAACGGGGGGA